rnacentral:sRNA from 1 species
AAAUAGCCCCGAUGGAAAUGGAAAUCCUCCCGUUUUUAGGGAGAUUGUAAUGUACAGCGGGACGAGGC